ensembl:lncRNA
UGGGUAUUAUGGAUGGUGAGGGGUGAGAUCUGUCUCCAGCACACGCUCUCAUCCUCUCCAGGUGGAAAAGAAGGCAACGUGUCACAGUGUCUGCUGAUGCUGUUCUUCCUCAGCCCGUGCAGCUGCCCUGGGUUUGUAUUACCCCGGCGUCUACGCACCAGCUCCGCCUGGGACGCGUCCCAGCAGCAGGCUGCUUGGACCUCAACCCUACCAGGACGGUCGUCCUUUGUGGAAAGAAACUGGACCCGACGCGGCUUCUCACGCAAACCGGCAACCCGACGUAAGAUUCCCAGAUGGCCGACCGCGUGAACCAACGCACCCCUGGAGUUGGCGCGGCGCUUCCCGUCCGGCUCAGCGUGACCACGCCGCCGGCCGAGCGCUCCCCAGAGGGCGCUCCGUCAUCUACCGCCAGCCCUAUUCUGAGGAGGUCAAGCGCGUUGUCCCUCCGACGGCGGCUGGAGCCCCGGGCCGGCCUGACCUUGUGGAUUGGCGUCCCCAAGGUCGCAGCCGGCCGCCCUCGCCUGUCUACGAUGGGCGCGACCACGCGGUUGACGAGUCUGUCCCAAAUGGACGUGACGUGUCUGUGAGGGGGCUCCCGCUGCCCCGAAGCGGGGGUCGUGGCGCUUACCCAAGCUCUAUUCCUGGACGCGGCCUGGCGAGAGAUGCCCCUGUCCUCCGCUCAUCCGGCUCCGCCGCCAGGGCGCCGUCCGGCCCAGAUCCCGGACCAGCCGGGAUUGGCCUGUCUGGCAGUCUUGCGCGUCCCCUGCGCAGACGCCUCCACGUCGAACAGCCUUUUGCAAGGUGACCCUGUUCAAGGACGUCGGGCGGAACGCAGCAUCGGGUCCAGUUGGAAUGAGUCGGGGAGCGUGACGCUUUGCCGUCGUCUUCCUGUGAGGAUCUGUUGAAGAUGGCAGGCGAGCAUUUUUUGACUGAUGAGAAAUGUGUUUGUCAGGUGUUCUCUAACUGUUUUUUUGUUUAUUGAACAAUGCUCAUCGUGUGUGUGUGUGUCUAUAUGCUUGUGCAUUGUCCCUUACUUGAAUGUAACACUAAAACUAGAUGCUUUCUUGAAUACACGUUGUAUUUUGCCUCUUUCUGCUCCCCCAUCAGAGAUGUGUUACCACAGUGCCAUCUGUUGGUUCUGAGGUGAAGUUCUUCCUUCGGCUCACAUUGUUUGAGCACAGAAGCUCGACAAACGCCCUCAUCUCUUUACGCUCUUCAUUUUGCCCAAUGUCCAAAUAAAGUCUUUCAGUCAUCA